CUACGGGUUGCACCAGUGAGGAAUAUUGGUCAAUGGGCGCGAGCCUGAACCAGCCAUCCCGCGUGCAGGAUGACGGCCCUAUGGGUUGUAAACUGCUUUUCUAUGCCAAGAAACCUGAUUACGUGUAAUCAGUUGCCGGUAGCAUAGGAAUAAGCAUCGGCUAACUCCGUGCCAGCAGCCGCGGUAAUACGGAGGAUGCAAGCGUUAUCCGGAUUCAUUGGGUUUAAAGGGUGCGCAGGUGGGCUUGUAAGUCAGUGGUGAAAUGCUGCCGCUUAACGGUAGAACUGCCAUUGAUACUGCGAGUCUUGAGUAUGGUUGAGGUAGGCGGAAUGUGUUAUGUAGCGGUGAAAUGCAUAGAUAUGACACAGAACGCCAAUUGCGAAGGCAGCUUACUAAGCCAUUACUGACGCUGAGGCACGAAAGCGUGGGGAGCGAACAGGAUUAAAUACCCCUGUAGUC
rnacentral:rRNA from 1 species